rnacentral:rRNA from 1 species
UUAAACGUCCAUACUACGUUGAAUACGUCGGUUCUCGUCCGAUCACCGAAGUUAAGCAACGUCGGGCGCAGUCAGUACUUGGAUGGGUGACCGACUGAGAACACCGCGUGACGUUGGCU